rnacentral:tRNA from 1 species
AAAAAGGUAAGCUAAAUAAAGCUAAUGGGUUCAUACCCCACUUAUGAAUAAAUUUCCCUUUUUA